UACGUAGGGGGCAAGCGUUUGUCCGGAAUCAUUGGGCGUAAAGAGCGUGUAGGCGGCCCGGUAAGUCCGCUGUGAAAGUCCAGGGCUCAACCCUGGAAUGCCGGUGGAAACUGUCGGGCUAGAGUCCGGAAGAGGCGAGUGGAAUUCCUGGUGUAGCGGUGAAAUGCGCAGAUAUCAGGAGGAACACCAAUGGCGAAGGCAGCUCGCUGGGACGGUACUGACGCUGAGACGCGAAAGCGUGGGGGAGCAAACAGG
rnacentral:rRNA from 1 species